CCUACGGGCGGCUGCAGUGGGGAAUAUUGCACAAUGGGCGCAAGCCUGAUGCAGCCAUGCCGCGUGUGUGAAGAAGGCCUUCGGGUUGUAAAGCACUUUCAGCGGGGAGGAAGGCGGUGAGGUUAAUAACCUCAUCGAUUGACGUUACCCGCAGAAGAAGCACCGGCUAACUCCGUGCCAGCAGCCGCGGUAAUACGGAGGGUGCAAGCGUUAAUCGGAAUUACUGGGCGUAAAGCGCACGCAGGCGGUCUGUCAAGUCGGAUGUGAAAUCCCCGGGCUCAACCUGGGAACUGCAUUCGAAACUGGCAGGCUAGAGUCUUGUAGAGGGGGGUAGAAUUCCAGGUGUAGCGGUGAGAUGCGUAGAGAUCUGGAGGAAUACCGGUGGCGAAGGCGGCCCCCUGGACAAAAACUGACGCUCAGGUGCGAAAGCGUGGGGAGCAAACAGGAUUAAUACCCGGGUAGUC
rnacentral:rRNA from 1 species